UUUGCUUAAAAUAAAAGGUCCAGCCUGCCCAGUGACACUGUUCAACGGCCGCGGUAUCCUAACCGUGCGAAGGUAGCGUAAUCACUUGUUCUUUAAAUGAGGACUAGUAUGAAAGGCACCACGAGAGUCAUACUGUCUCCUCUCUCCAAUCAGUUAAACUAAUCUCCCCGUGAAGAAGCGAGGAUAAUUAUAUAAGACGAGAAGACCCUAUGGAGCUUUAAACGAAUAACACUUGCCCAUUUACUCCUUUAAAUUUCAGAAAAAUCUAUUACCUUGGCAUCAUACUUAUAAGUUUUUGAUUGGGGUGAUCACGGAACAAAAAAUAACCUCCGCAAUGAAAGACUCUCCAUAACUAAGUCAAGAACCACAACUCUACGCAUCAACAAAUUGACACCAAUUGACCCAAUUUAUUGAUCAAUGAAC
rnacentral:rRNA from 1 species